rnacentral:rRNA from 1 species
AACGUAGGAGACGGAACGUUAUCCGGAGUUACUGGGCGUAAAGGGCGUGCAGGCGGUCUGAUAAGUUCGGCGUGAAAUAUUCCGGCUUAACCGGGAUAGGUCGUCGGAGACUGUCGGACUAGAGGGUGAUAGAGGCGUGUGGAAUUCCGGGUGUAGUGGUGAAAUGCGUAGAGAUCCGGAGGAACACCAGUGGCGAAGGCGAACACGGCUGGGUCACACCGUGACGCUAAAGCGCGACAGCAUGGGAGC